UACGAAGGGGGCUAGCGUUGCUCGGAAUCACUGGGCGUAAAAGGGUGCGUAGGCGGGUCUUUAAGUCAGGGGUGAAAUCCAUGGAGCUCAACGUCCAGAACUGCCUUUGAUACUGAGGAUCUUGAGUUCGGGAGAGGUGAGUGGAACUGCGAGUGUAGAGGUGAAAUUCGUAGAUAUUCGCAAGAACACCAGUGGCGAAGGCGGCUCACUGGCCCGAUACUGACGCUGAGGCACGAAAGCGUGGGGAGCAAACAGGG
rnacentral:rRNA from 1 species